UAUUAACUAUGUGAGAGAAAAGGUUUACUUGGGUUUAUUGUUCUGGAGGCUUUAGUCCAUAAUUGAAUGGACCCAUUUUUUGGGCCAGUGUUGAAGCAGGAGAUCAUGUCAAGAGUGUGCAAUAAAGCAAACCACUUACCUUGUGGCCUGGAAGUAAAGGAGGAAGAAGAAGAUACAGGGGCCCUACAGUCUCCUUCAAUGGCACCUUCCUCAUUUCCUAAGGACUUCUAGUAGGCUCCGUCUUCUAAAGGUUCCAUCACCUCCCAGUAGCACCACCCUGGGGACCAAGCCUUUAAAACAAAGACUUUUGAGGACACUUCCCCAAACUAUAGCAGAUUCAAAAUUUUUCUAAUGUGCAUGAUCUCUACUGUGAAAAAUCGCCACUUUCCACCAUCAUCUCAAACACCUGGAUUGUCAGAUACUAUCAUUUCUGAAA
ensembl:lncRNA